rnacentral:lncRNA from 1 species
CUCAUUUCUCUCUAUCCCUCUGUUUUUUCUCUUGCGCAUUCUGGCAGCGCAGGGCUCUUCUUUAUUAACCUUUUCCAACUGAAUAAGCCAGAACAACACAUGACUUCUGACCUGAAGCAAUACAGCCAAGUGAGUAGGCUGGCUAUCUAUUUGCACUGCCUUUCUACACGAGGUCCUUUUCCUCGGUAGACAUAAUGUACCAGAGAUGUAUUAGAGAUAAGGAUAAUGUGUCUGUCUGCCUGUUCUCCCUAUAGCUUUGGGAGACAAGCAGGAUGAAUAUGAGAGUGCAGUGGUAUGGGCCAAAUGCAAUGAGACUCCCACAAAUAUGGUGAGAUAAAAUGCUGUGGCCAAGAAUUGGAAAGGAUGCUGAAGAAUAGUUUCUUUUCCAUUUUUUUUUCCCUUGGAAACAAGCUCAUUUUUAUAGCAACAUGUCUGAUCUCACCAUUCAAAACGGAGAAUAUCCCAAGUUUGAUGCCUUGAGAUACAAGAGGAGGUUAAGAGAUGCAUAUCACUUCUAGAAAUGAACAACAGCUGCAUCCAGGCUUCUCCCUGAAAAUGGGUGACUUCUCCAGACACGGAGUUCCCCAAUAAACAAGAGGGCUGAAACGUCAUCUAAGGUGUACUUCUACCAACUGUCUGGGAGUGACUUGACUUUCUCACUUACUCAAAAGAAGUCUCAAGCACCUUUGUUUAUAUAGAGGCUAUGGACAGCAAGGGGAGACCAAGCCUUCACAGUAGACCAGGAUUGAGCUUUUGUAUAUUUUUUUUAGUGCUACUUAUGCCCACAAAUAUAUAUUAAAAUGACUUAUUUAGGUCGAAUAUCAUAUUGAUGUUACUUAUCUCUAAAAUACGGUUGUUAUAUCUUAAUCUCUUUCUUACCCCACCUUUUCCCCUGUUCUACGGUUAGGAUGCUGUUGAACAGUUUAUGAACGGGUUUAUGAACAGUUUAUGCCGGGGCCUGCACUAUGGCCACAAUAACCCCAGGCAACGCUACAGGCUUAGGGCAGAGUGGCUGGAAGACUGUGUAGAGGAAAUGGACCUGGGGGUGUUGAUUGACGCUAGACUGAACAUGAGCCAGCAGUGUGCCUAGGUGGCCAAGAAGGCCAAUGGCAUCCUGGCUUGUAUCAGAAAUAGUGUGGCCAGCAGGAACAGGGAAGUAAUUAUUCCCCUGUACUCAGCACUGGUGAGACCGCACCUUGAGUACUGUGUCCAGUUUUGGGCCCCUCACUGUAAGAAAGACAUCGAGGCCCUGGAGCGUGUCCAGAGGAGGGCAACAAAGCUGGUGAGGGGUCUGGAGCACAGGCCUUAUGAAGAGCGGCUGAAGGAGCUGGGGUUGUUCAGUCUAGAGAAGAGGAGGCUCAGGGGAGACCUUAUUGCUCUCUAUAACUACCUGAAAGGAGGUUGUAGUGAGCUGGGGGUCAGCCUCAUCUCUCAUGUGACUACUGAUAGGACUGGAGGGAAUAGCUUCAAGCUGCGUCAGGGAAGAUUCAGGCUGGACGUUAGGAAAUGCUACUUCUCUGAAAGGGUGGUCAGGCACUGGAAUGGGCUGCCCAGUGAGGUGGUAGAGUUGCCGACCCUGGUGGUGUUCAAAGAGAGUUUGGAUGUUGUGUUGAGGGACAUGGUGAAGGGCAAAUGGUUGGACUGGAUGACCCUGUGGGUCUUUUCCAACCUUAGCGAUUCUAUGAUUCUAUGAUUCUAUGAUAUUUCCCUCAAAUAUUUUCAGAGUGAAUAAAAAUCAGUUUUUGGACUGAUUAAUUGCAACACAUUUUGUGGAGGGGUUUUGGGUAGAAAUAUAUGACAAAGCUUGUUUAUGUUAUCUCCAAGUUACAUAGAAGGAUUUGUACAUGCAUAUAAACAAAGCCUCCUUGAUUUGCUUUCUAAUAUGGAGGUCAGAAAUGGGGACCAUGGAGGCUGGACUUUCCUGAGAAAUUUUCUUUCGUCUUCUCCUUUUGUGUAUUUUGGGCUUAAGUCGUCACUUAACAUAGG